rnacentral:pre_miRNA from 1 species
UUACUGAACGGAUUAACUAUUGAACUGUUCUGUCAAACAAUUUGUUCUUUGACAGAGAGUGACAAAACAGUUCAAUAGCUAAUCCGUCCAGUAAC